AGUGUCCGGUACCACAUGGAAAGUUAAAAUGAACUGCUGAGGGCACGGAUACGUUUGUCUAACGUAGUUCCCUGCCUUGUAGCCGUUACCUGCGGUUCAGUGACGUGACCUGACAAGACUGGGUGGUGAGGCCAGAUAGCAAACGAUGUCUGUUUUGCUGAGGUUAAACGGGCAGUUUCUGGAGAGCCUGAAAUGAGAAGGAAUCAGAAGUGACCAGCGUUAUUUGGUGGAACAAUAUAUUAGAAGACUUCAUAGAAGUUUGAAGCAGCAUGCCUAUUGGGAGCAAGCAGAGUGGCAGAAGAAGAAGCUUGCCUAUUGGGAGCAGAAGGCAUGUGCAAAGAUUCGGUGAUGGGGAAUCAUUGUGAAUUCUGGAAACUGUAGAAAUUGGUGGUUGUAAGAAAUCAUUUAUUUAACAGAGAUUUAUGAUCAACUCAGCUUCAAGUCCAAGAAAGGAGGUGUUGGUAUCAUGUUGAUUGUGAUCUGAGCUAAUUUAGUGUGGACCUGAGUACAUUUGAUUCCUUCUUUUGAAAAUAUCAGAACUGGUGGAUAAAUUUUCCUCUUGCAUGCUUUCAGCUUCAUGGCUCAAAAAAAGUGUGAAAGCGCUAUGCAUUCAGUAGAAACAGUACUUCAAAUUCUGUACUCUUUUGGGCUAGCAAUAUGCAAUACUAUACUGUCUUCUAAUGCUGGGCAGCAGCUUCCAGUCAGCCAUGUGAUA